CUUUGGACCUAUUUUGUUGGUUUAUAGGACCAGAGUAAUGAUUAAUAGGAACAGUUGGGGACAUUUGUACUUCGUGGCUAGAGGUGAAAUUCUUAGAUUCACGGAAGACAAACAUAUGCGAAAGCAUUUGUCAAGGAUGUUUUCAUUAAUCAAGAACGAAAGUUAGGGGAUCGAAGACGAUCAGAUACCGUCGUAGUCUUAACCAUAAACGAUGCGGACUGGGGAUUGGAGAAUGUUUCUUUAUGACUCCUUCAGAACCCUAUGAGAAAUCAAAGUUUUUGCGUUCUGGGGGGAGUAUGGUCGCAAGGCUGAAACUUAAAGGAAUUGACGGAAGGGCACCACCAGGAGUGGAGCUUGCGGCUUAAUUUGACUCAACACGGGGAAACUCAC
rnacentral:rRNA from 1 species